rnacentral:rRNA from 1 species
CCAAUCCUGAGGUGUGACCUGCCCAGUGGUUUUUAACAAAAAUUUGAUAAUAACUUUUUAAUAAAACUAAACAGGACGCGGUAACCUUGACCGUGAUAAUGUAGCAUAAUCACUCGCCAUUUAAUUGAUGGAUAGUAUGAAUGGUUAAACGAAUAUUCCACUGUCUUAGGAAGAAUCAAAGGAAAUUGAAAUAAUAGUUAAGAUGCUAUUUAAAAUUGUAAGACGAAAAGACCCUAUAGAGCUUCACUAUAAACUCUUUUAAUAUACCAAAAAAUAAAAUUUUUAAGUCAAAGAGUCUGGUAGUUUAGUUGGGGCGACUAUUUUCUAAAUUUAACGAAAACAAGCAAUAUCAAUAAUAAAUUUACUGUAUAACUAAAAAAUUUAACAGUUACAAAAGUAGGCUAUAAUGACCCGUUGUAAUACAAAAAUAAAACCAACGAUCAAUUGAUAAAAGCUACCUUAGGGAUAACAGGAUAAUUUUAUUUUAGAGUCCUUAUCGAAAAUAAAGUUUGUCACCUCGAUGUGAAAUUAUGAA